rnacentral:RNase_P_RNA from 1 species
CGUGCAAGUCGGCUUGUCGCCUCAGUUCGAUUUUAUCGGAUUGGGGAGGAAAGUCCGGGCAACAAAGAGCGCCAUACUUCCUAACGGGAAGGGUAUUUACCGGUGACGGAAAAUAUACAGACAGUGCCACAGAAAAUAAACCACCGUAGGCUUGUCUUACGGAAAGGGUGAAAAGGUGGGGUAAGAGCCCACCGCCCCGACAGUGAUGAAGGGGGCACGGCAAACCUUAUGGGUUGAAAGAUCAAAUAGGCCCCGGGCAAAGAGCUGCUCGUUCGAUUUUCGCUUCGGCGAAAUUCCGGGGUGGGUAGAUCGAUAGAGUUCUGGUGUGAAUCAGAAUCGAGAUAAAUGGCAAGCCUUUCCUGAAUUUCAGGAAAGACAGAACCCGGCUUAUAGACUUGCACUUUUU